rnacentral:rRNA from 1 species
UUGCAUAAUGAACCUACGAGUUACUUUUUCCGGCAAGGUUAAGUGUCUUUAGACAUGUAGCCGAAGCGAAAGCGAGUCUUAAUAGGGCGUCGAGUCGGAAGGAGUAGACGCGAAACCAAGUGAUCUACCCUUGGUCAGGUUGAAGGUUAGGUAACACUAACUGGAGGACCGAACCGAUAAGCGUUGAAAAGCUUCCGGAUGAACUGAGGGUGGGGGUGAAAGGCUAAUCAAACUUGGAGAUAGCUCGUACUCCCCGAAAUGCAUUUAGGUGCAGCCUUGUGAGUUACUAAUGUGAGGUAGAGCGACUGAUAAGAUGCGAGGGCUUCACCGCCUAUCAAGUCUUGACAAACUCCGAAUGCGCAUUAGUUCUAUCACAGGAGUGAGGGCAUGGGUGCUAAGGUCCAUGUCCUAAAGGAGAAGAAUCCAGACCAUCAGCUAAGGUCCCCAAAUAAACACUAAGUUGAACUAACGAAGUCAGAUUGCUAAGACAGCUAGGAUGUUGGCUUGGAAGCAGCCAUUCAUUUAAAGAGUGCGUAACAGCUCACUAGUCGAGGAGUUUGGCGUGGAUAAUAAUCGGGCAUUAAGUGUUUUACCGAAGCUAUGGGAUACGUAAGUAUCGGUAGGGGAGCAUUCCACUCAGCGUUGAAGGUGAAGCGUGAGCUUUGCUGGAGCGUGUGGAAACGCAAAUGUAGGUAUAAGUAACGAUAAAGGGGGUGAGAAACCCCCUCGCCGAAAGACUAAGGUUUCCUGAUCAACGCUAAUCGGAUCAGGGUUAGUCGGGUCCUAAGGCUCAGCCGAACGGUGAGGCCGAUGGCAGAACAGGUUAAUAUUCCUGUACUACCUAAAGGAGUGACGUGGAGACGGAGCAGUGACAGCGCCGCGGACUGACGGAAU